AGAGAAGGACAGAUGAUCGCCGCCUGGCGCAGCGUUGCUGCGAGCGGGGGGAGGAAAGUCCGGGCUCCACAGGACAGGAUGGUUCCUAACGGGAACCGGGGGUGACCCCAGGGAAAGUGCCACAGAGAGAAGACCGCUUCUCCUUCGCUAAAGCUUCGGCGAACGAGCUGAUCCAUGUGAAAAGCCUGUCCGCCGCAGCCACCGCUUGCGGUGGCGCUGGAGAAGUAAGGGUGAAAGGGUGAGGUAAGAGCUCACCAGUGCCGGUGGUGACAUCGGCAGCUCGGUAAACCCCAUCCGGAGCAAGGCCAAAUAGGGGAGUGUCUGAGGACGGCCCGUCCGAAACUCCCGGGUCAGGCUGCUUGAGGCCGUCGGCAACGGCGGUCCUAGAGGAAUGAUCGUCGCCACGCAGCAGGUAACUGCUACGGGGAACAGAACCCGGCUUACGGUUGUCUCCGACC
rnacentral:RNase_P_RNA from 1 species